rnacentral:tRNA from 1 species
GCCUGGGUGGCUCAGUCGGUUAAGCAUCUGACUGUGGCUCAGGUCAUGAUCUCACGGUUUGUGGUUUCGAGCCCCACAUUGGGCU